UUCUUCGGGGUCGGGUGCAAUUCCCUACCGGCGGUAAAGUCCGCGACCUGUCUGUUUGCAUUACAUACAGUAAGAAAACAGAUGGCUGAUUUGGUGAAAUUCCAAAACCGACAGUAAAGUCUGGAUGAGAGAAGAA
rnacentral:ncRNA from 1 species